rnacentral:rRNA from 1 species
UACGUAGGUGGCAAGCGUUGUCCGGAAUUAUUGGGCGUAAAGCGCGCGCAGGCGGUCCUUUAAGUCUGAUGUGAAAGCCCACGGCUCAACCGUGGAGGGUCAUUGGAAACUGGGGGACUUGAGUGCAGAAGAGGAGAGCGGAAUUCCACGUGUAGCGGUGAAAUGCGUAGAGAUGUGGAGGAACACCAGUGGCGAAAGCGGCUCUCUGGAACGGUACUGACGCUGAGACGCGAAAGCGUGGGGAGCGAACAGG